UAGGGAAUUUUCCACAAUGGGCGAAAGCCUGAUGGAGCAACGCCGCGUGCAGGAUGAAAGCCUUCGGGUCGUAAACUGCUUUUAUAUAUGAAGAUUUUGACGGUAGUAUAUGAAUAAGGAUCGGCUAACUCCGUGCCAGCAGCCGCGGUCAUACGGAGGAUCCGAGCGUUAUCCGGAAUUACUGGGCGUAAAGAGUUGCGUAGGCGGUCAAGUAAGCAGAGCGUGAAAUGAUGUGGCUCAACCACAUGUCCAUGCUUUGAACUGCUUUGACUAGAGAAUGGAAGAGGUUGCUAGAAUUCCUGGUGUAGGGGUGGAAUCCGUAGAUAUCAGGAGGAAUACCGAUGGCGUAGGCAGGCAACUGGUCCAUUUCUGACGCUCAGGCACGAAAGCGUGGGGAGCGAUCGGGAUUAGAUACCCGCGUAGUCC
rnacentral:rRNA from 1 species